rnacentral:snRNA from 1 species
AGAUGUGAGGGUGAUCUGACUGCGAUGACUGUCACCCCACUGAUCACCAGGGUUGAUUCGGCUGAUCUGGCUGGUUAGGCGGUGUCCCCUUCCUCCCUCACCGCUCCAUGUGCGUCCCUCCCGAAGCUGCAUGCCCUACUGAAGAGGACCAUGACCUUCCCUGAUAGGAGGGCUGUCCUUCGGUCAAGGGUAUACGAGGAGCUGCACUCUCAGUUAGAACCUCCAAACAAGUAUCAAAAACACUAAAGGCAACAAAACCUAAAAAGUAUAUAAAGGUGGCUUUAAGAAAUAAAGCUGGUUAAGAUGUCGUCUUU